AUUGAACGCUGGCGGCAGGCUUAACACAUGCAAGUCGAGCGGAUCGGCGGACGGGUGCGUAAUGCCUAGGAAUCUGCCUGGUCGUGGGGGAUAACGUCCGCUAACGGGCGCUAAUACCGCAUACUCUUGCAAGAGCCUAGGUCGGAUUAGCUAGAUGUUGGGGUAAAGGACUACCAAGGCGACGGUCCGUAACUGGUCUGAGAGGAUGAUCAGUCACACGGGAACUGAGACACGGUCCAGACUCCUACGGGAGGCAGCAGGGGGGAAUAUUGGACAAUGGGCGAAAGCCUGAUCCAGCCAUGCCGCGUGUGUGAAGAAGGUCUUCGGAUUGUAAAGCACUUUAAGUUGGGAGGCGUUACCAACAGAAUAAGCACCGGCUAACUUCGUGCCAGCAGCCGCGGUAAUAC
rnacentral:rRNA from 1 species